rnacentral:rRNA from 1 species
GAUGAACGCUGGCGGCGUGCUAAUACCUGCAAGUCGAACGCACAGCCGAAAGUCUUUUCACCCUUCCAGUGGCGGGGGAACGGGUGGGUAAACCUUGGAAAACCACCCUUAAGGCUGGGGGAAACUUUUGGAAACAGAAGCUAAAACCGAAUAAAACUUAGUUCCGCAUUUUCCAAAGUUAAAAGGGGGCUUGGUGUCACCUAUAGAUGGAUCCGCGGUGCAUUAGCUAGUUGGUGGGGUAAAGGCCUACCAAGACAACGAUGCAUAGCCGACGUGAGAGACUGAUCGGCCACAUUGGGACUGAGACACGGCCCAAACUCCUACGGGAGGCAGCAGUAGGGAAUCUUCCACAAUGGGCGAAAGCCUGAUGGAGCAACGCCGCGUGUGUGAUGAAGGCUUUCGGGUCGUAAAGCACUGUUGUAUGGGAAGAACAGCUAGAAUAGGAAAUGAUGUUAGUUUGACGGUACCAAACCAGAAAAGGACGGCUAAAUACGUG